UACGGGGGGAGCAAGCGUUGUUCGGAUUUACUGGGCGUAAAGGGCGCGUAGGCGGUCGUGACAAGUCACUUGUGAAAUCUCCGGGCUUAACUCGGAACGGUCAAGUGAUACUGUCGGACUAGAGUACAGAAGGGGCAACUGGAAUUCUCGGUGUAGCGGUGAAAUGCGUAGAUAUCGAGAGGAACACCUGCGGCGAAGGCGGGUUGCUGGGCUGACACUGACGCUGAAGUGCGAAAGCUAGGGGAGCGAACAGG
rnacentral:rRNA from 1 species